UGGGGAAUAUUGCACAAUGGGCGAAAGCCUGAUGCAGCGACGCCGCGUGAGGGAUGACGGCCUUCGGGUUGUAAACCUCUUUCAGUAGGGAACAAGGCCAGCAUUUUUGUUGGUUGAGGGUACUUGCAGAAGAAGCGCCGGCUAACUACGUGCCAGCAGCCGCGGUAAUACGUAGGGCGCAAGCGUUAUCCGGAAUUAUUGGGCGUAAAGAGCUCGUAGGCGGUUUGUCGCGUCUGCCGUGAAAGUCCGGGGCUCAACUCCGGAUCUGCGGUGGGUACGGGCAGACUAGAGUGAUGUAGGGGAGACUGGAAUUCCUGGUGUAGCGGUGAAAUGCGCAGAUAUCAGGAGGAACACCGAUGGCGAAGGCAGGUCUCUGGGCAUUAACUGACGCUGAGGAGCGAAAGCAUGGGGAGCGAACA
rnacentral:rRNA from 2 species